rnacentral:lncRNA from 1 species
GACAAGACCACCGGACAGAAGAACAAGAUCACAAUCACCAACGACAAGGGCAGGCUCUCAAAGGAGGACAUUGAGAAGAUGGUCCAGGAGGCAGAGAAAUAUAAGUCUGAGGAUGAAGAGCACAAGAAGAAGGUUGAAGCCAAGAACGCCUUGGAGAACUAUGCCUACAACAUGAGGAACACCAUCAAGGACGAGAAGAUCGGAGCCAAGUUGCCGCCAGCUGACAAGAAGAAGAUCGAAGACUCGAUCGAAACCGCCAUCCAGUGGCUCGACAGCAACCAGCUCGCAGAGGCCGAUGAGUUCGAAGACAAGAUGAAGGAGUUGGAGAGCAUCUGCAACCCAAUCAUCGCCAAGAUGUACCAGGGUGCUGGUGCUGACGGUGCUGGCCCUGUUGAUGAUGAAGCUCCAGCUGGUGCAAGCGGCCCUGGACCCAAGAUUGAGGAAGUCGACUAAAUUUCUGCUGGGGUUGAAUUUAAUUUCGGAAUUUUAGGUGUUUUUGAACUGAAUAUUUUUAUGUUUUUUUUUCUUCAUAUUUUUGCCUUGGAAGUUAUUUAUCAAGGCCUUUAAGUUUCUUUUUUAAUUUGCG